rnacentral:lncRNA from 1 species
CAUCCUACCAAGGCGAAUCCAUUGACCAGGAUUUAAGUUGAGGACUCCCCCAGGACCUCGGGUGCAGCAUCUGGGUCCCCCUGCCCCGCCCUGCCUUGCGCCGCAGCCGCUUCCGUUGUCCUGCCAGGCUGUAGACUGCGCAGCCCUCCUGGAGACAGAUGGAAGCUCCUUGGGUCGACAGAUUACAGCUUCUGGAAUCCCCUACUUCCUUCAACUCCGAGAUGGACACCCACUGUCCAGGGAGAGGAUGCCUGGAAAUAACAGCUGGGAUCUACAGUGGCCAUAAGAGUUGUCUCCGUCUUGCUACAUCGACAAACUGGUGCUUCUGAGUGAGGAUUGUGCCCUGGGAUGGGGGAUUCAGUUUCUUCAUUUAUAGUUGGAAGUGUGAAGGAUUGUCACGUGUGCUCAACAGUCCUCCUCGGCUUUCCAGAAGAGGCUGGAACAGGGCCCUUGAAGAUGUUUGUGGACAUCAGAGGGCCAAAGACGACACAAAGUGAAACUGGAGACACCGCCCCCCUUGGCAUCAUGAAACUGCCGAUGUUACUGGCUCAUGCAUGGGAGACACCAGCAUACAAAGUCUUGACACCAACACCUCAGAGGGCUGUGUUCUGUCCCCGUGACCAUCAGCCAGUGCCUGGAAAGACUGGUGACAAGAAUUUGUUGCCAACUUCCUAUUACCUCCCUAAGAGUUGUGCAAUAAACCCCAUAGGUUAA